GAUGAACGCUGGCGGCGUGCCUAAUACAUGCGAGUCGAGCGAACGGACGAGAAGCUUGCUUCUCUGAUGUUAGCGGCGGACGGGUGAGUAACACGUGGAUAACCUACCUAUAAGACUGGGAUAACUUCGGGAAACCGGAGCUAAUACCGGAUAAUAUUUUGAACCGCAUGGUUCAAAAGUGAAAGACGGUCUUGCUGUCACUUAUAGAUGGAUCCGCGCUGCAUUAGCUAGUUGGUAAGGUAACGGCUUACCAAGGCAACGAUGCAUAGCCGACCUGAGAGGGGGGGCCGCCACCACUGAAACGGGGACCGGGUCCGGCCCCCACCGGGGGGCACAAGUGGGGAUUCUCCCGAAUGGGCCGAAGCCCUGACGGAGCAACCCCGCGUGAGUGAUGAAGGUCUUCGGACCUUAAAACUUUGUUAUUGGGGAAAAACAUAUGUGAAAGAAACUGUGCACAUCUUCACGGUCCCUAAUAAGAAACCCCGGCCUAACCCCGUC
rnacentral:rRNA from 1 species